ensembl:lncRNA
CUGUUUUCGCAAAGUCAGCCAACCACUUGCUUCCAAAUGACCCUUAUCCAGAAGUAUCCGUGAGUGCCUCAUCAACAGAAACUAAAGUGGAGACCUACCUCUCAGAGAAAACGCACACAUAAGAAAAGCCGACCCACUUCAGUACUGGGAAGAACAUCCUAAUUUGUUUCCCUCUAUGGCUGCUGUUGCGAUCCCAGUGUGCCCCCUGUAGCUCUGUGGACAGUUUUGGAUUUGUUUACAUCUCACCCAACCGCUCACGGCAGAUGGCUGCACCCCUCUAAGCCUGGUUCUGCCGGAGGUUUCUUCCUGUUAAAAGGGAGUUUUUCUGAACACACUCUACCACCAACAAGGACAGCUCACCAGUGGGAACUGAUAGAUAAGACUGCUGAUGUGCUCUCAUCCAUUGAAGAGCUGACCAGAAACGUGAACAGAAAGACUGCACCUGAUGGGAUCCCUGCCAUAACGGUGAAGGCAGUGGAGAAGCCCUACACUGAUCUUGAAACUGUGCCACGCUAGUAGAGACCGGCUACAAGGAUGGGCAGCUGUUUUCGCAAAGUCAGCCAACCACUUGCUUCCAAAUGACCCUUAUCCAGAAGUAUCCGUGAGUGCCUCAUCAACAGAAACUAAAGUGGAGACCUACCUCUCAGAGAAAAACGCACACAUAAGAAAAGCCGACCCACUUCAGUACUGAGAAGAACAUCCUAAUCUGUUUCCCUCUAUGGCUGCUGUUGCAAUCCCAGUGUGCCCCCUGUAGCUCUGUGGACAGUUUUGGAUUUGUUUACAUCUCACCCCAACCGGUCAUGACAGAUGGCCGCCCCUCCCUGAGCCUGGUUCUGCCGGAGGUUUCUUCCUGUCAAAAGGGAGUUUUUCCUUCCCACUGUCGCCAAAGUGCUUGCUCAUAGGGGGUCAUAUGAUUGUUGGGUUUAUCUAUAUACAUUAAUUCUUGUAUGCUUUUCAUUUAUACUUUUGCCUUACUCUUCAGUUCAUAAUAUAAAGUUACUUGAAUGUUUUCCUUUUCCUUUUUAUUUUAUAUUGCUUUGCUAUUUACCACAAUCUAAAUAUCAUGUUUAAAUGUCAUACAUUAUUGUAAAUGGUAUUUGUACAAAAUAUUAUUUGAAUAACAUGAUACAUUUUAGUCCCACAAGGGGAAAUUUCAUAAUUUUCAUGUGGAAUUUCCCCUUUCACAUUAAAAUACCUUUGAAAUACAAAUUGAAUACCGCUUAAUGGACAUUUAUUUCUACCACUUUAAACGACUCAAAACUGUAAAAUCUAAAUUGUAACUUCUCUUGAACACCUGACACUAAAGCAUAAUUUAUUUUCUUUUAUAUCUAUUAACUUAUUUUGUAAUCAUGUAACUGGAGCAUCUUUCUCUCAUCUCUGUAUGCCGCAUAUAACAGAGAUCACAAUACAGCUUACUUUGCUUUAAGUUGAAAAUCAGCUGUAUUCCAUUUCCCUACUUCUUG